rnacentral:piRNA from 1 species
UGCAACUGUUGUCUCUGUGUUGUGGUC